rnacentral:rRNA from 1 species
ACGAACGCUGGCGGCGUGGAUAAGACAUGCAAGUCGAACGGGAGAAUUGCUAGCUUGCUAAUAAUUCUCUAGUGGCGCACGGGUGAGUAACACGUGAGUAACCUGCCUCUUAGUGGGGGAUAGCCCUGGGAAACCGGGAUUAAUACCGCAUACGAUUGAAAGAUCAAAGCAGCAAUGCGCUAGGAGAUGGGCUCGCGGCCUAUUAGUUAGUUGGUGAGGUAACGGCUCACCAAGGCGAUGACGGGUAGCCGGUCUGAGAGGAUGUCCGGCCACACUGGAACUGAGACACGGUCCAGACACCUACGGGUGGCAGCAGUCGAGAAUCAUUCACAAUGGGGGCAACCCUGAUGGUGCGACGCCGCGUGGGGGAAUGAAGGUCUUCGGAUUGUAAACCCCUGUCAUGUGGGAGCAAAUUAAAAAGAUAGUACCACAAGAGGAAGAGACGGCUAACUCUGUGCCAGCAGCCGCGGUAAUACAGAGGUCUCAAGCGUUGUUCGGAAUCACUGGGCGUAAAGCGUGCGUAGGCUGUUUCGUAAGUCGUGUGUGAAAGGCAGGGGCUCAACCCCUGGAUUGCACAUGAUACUGCGAGACUAGAGUAAUGGAGGGGGAACCGGAAUUCUCGGUGUAGCAGUGAAAUGCGUAGAUAUCGAGAGGAACACUCGUGGCGAAGGCGGGUUCCUGGACAUUAACUGACGCUGAGGCACGAAGGCCAGGGGAGCAAAAGGGAUUAGAUACCCCUGUAGUCCUGGCAGUAAACGGUGCACGCUUGGUGUGCGGGGAAUCGACCCCCUGCGUGCCGGAGCUAACGCGUUAAGCGUGCCGCCUGGGGAGUACGGUCGCAAGAUUAAAACUCAAAGAAAUUGACGGGGACCCGCACAAGCGGUGGAGUAUGUGGCUUAAUUCGAUGCAACGCGAAGAACCUUACCUGGGCUUGACAUGUAAUGAACAACAUGUGAAAGCAUGCGACUCUUCGGAGGCGUUACACAGGUGCUGCAUGGCCGUCGUCAGCUCGUGUCGUGAGAUGUUUGGUUAAGUCCAGCAACGAGCGCAACCCCUGUUGCCAGUUACCAGCACGUCAAGGUGGGGACUCUGGCGAGACUGCCCAGAUCAACUGGGAGGAAGGUGGGGACGACGUCAGGUCAGUAUGGCCCUUAUGCCCAGGGCUGCACACGUACUACAAUGCCCAGUACAGAGGGGGCCGAAGCCGCGAGGCGGAGGAAAUCCUGAAAACUGGGCCCAGUUCGGACUGUAGGCUGCAACCCGCCUACACGAAGCCGGAAUCGCUAGUAAUGGCGCAUCAGCUACGGCGCCGUGAAUACGUUCCCGGGUCUUGUACACACCGCCCGUCACAUCAUGGAAGCCGGUCGCACCCGAAGUAUCUGAAGCCAACCGCAAGGAGGCAGGGUCCUAAGGUGAGACUGGUAACUGGGAUG